CGCUCCUUGAUCUGGCCAAUGCUAUGUCCCCAUAGGCAGGAGAUCGGUCCUCAGGAAACAACCAAUCACAGGGAAAUAGCGCUUCUCUGUGGCUGAGCUUUACAGGGGAAAUUCCACAAAUAGUCUCAAAAUGGCGACAAUAGGCCGCACUUUGUGUCCCCCCUCCCAGUUUCUGUCUUUGAGCACGGAGGACCUGCACACCACACUGCUGGGGUGAAAGGUUUUUUUUAUAAAGUCCUGCGGUCUAUUACAACUGGUUAACAUGACGGCUCUUAGAGCCAGUAAUAAGCGAGAGUUUAACAUUAACCCGGCCACAGUGAACGCCAGUGUAACAAAGAGAAGGGAAGCCGGCAUUAACUAACACAGAGCGUCCAACGCGGGCAGUGACAGACACAGCUCUAUUAGGAUAUAGUGGGUGGCCCUUAAAAGGGCCUUUGGGUUAUUAGGGUGUGCGGUAAGCCGAGUCAGGGUUUUACCCUCCGAAGCCAUAGAGAGUGCG